UACGUAGGUGGCAAGCGUUGUCCGGAUUUAUUGGGUUUAAAGGGUGCGUAGGCGGCCCUGUAAGUCAGUGCUGAAAUAUCCCGGCUUAACCGGGAGGGUGGCAUUGAUACUGCGGGGCUAGAGUACAGAUGAGGUAGGCGGAAUUGACGGUGUAGCGGUGAAAUGCUUAGAUAUCGUCAAGAACACCUAUAGCGAAGGCAGCUUACUAGGCUGUAACUGACGCUGAGGCACGAAAGUGUGGGGAUCAAGCAGG
rnacentral:rRNA from 1 species